UCUUUUGACGUCGCUUUUGUGGCGCUUGUAGUCUGUGAUCCUGCUCAUGCUUUCGCUCUUCUCAUCAUUAUCAUUUGCAAAAUUAAUAAGUUCACUAAAGAUAUUUUCCGCCAGAAUUUUUUUUAAACUAAAAAUAGGACCUUGUUUUCGAGGGAUGUGGCUAAGUGGAAGGGCGCAAAGGGCUCCAUUUGUCAUCCAUGUAUCCCAGUUUGGCGCUCUGGUGGAAAAACAAAACUUCAUAUAUGUUCAUGGUAACUUUCAUACUGCAUGCUUCCUCUAUUCAUCUGUGCCAGCUGACAUGGGGCUUUCUUCAAAGCUUUGUAUAAGAAAACAAUUGCCAGAUUCAACUCCCACAGCAAAAAUGGGAUUAUCAUGAUUGCCCUUCUUGGGAAGGUGGAGUACAGAAAAGAGGCCUUGAAUCUAUUUUCACAUGGAAGAUAAGUUUACUAAAUUAUUGCAAAAUAUGUUCAGGUUCUCAAUAAAUAUAAAUGGAUUAGUGU